AUGUAUAUUUGUAUGUGCGUAUAUAGGAAUGUAUUCACUCCCAAUCUCAAGUUGAAACAAGUCACAAAAAAGUUAAAGCGUGGGGAGAGGUGUGGGUGGAAGAAGCCAGGCAGAGAAAAAUACCUGACCAAAGCGUCUCCAGUAAAAAGGGAGAGAGAGAGGGAAAAAAAAAAAAAAAAAAUCAAACCUUUAGAAAGAAUCCUUAAAACAGAAGAGAGUUGGAAGAGGUCCUGGGACUUAGCAGCUUUUCAGAAAGCCCAGAAGCAGAAAGACAGGCAGAGGCGCCCUGCUGGGGUCCCAGGCAGCCGCCCCCCCUGCCGGCCCGGGCCGCGGACUCCCAUGUUCCCAGGCAGGUGGGAGCCGCCGGGAGCGCAGCCGCGGGGCGCGGGGCCGGGGCCGGGGCCGGGGCCGGGGCCGGGGCGCGGGCUUCUCCGGCGGGCGGCGGGGCUGGGCGGCUCCACGGCUCCCCGUGCGGACCGGCGGCUGUUGUGUCGGCGGCGCAGGCGGGACACCGUCCAGGGAAAUGCCUAUUACAUCAUCUUAAAGGAAUACGGCUUGGGGCGAGCGCCGGAGAGCGGGGGCAGCGCGAGCAGCGAGGUCCGCGGCGGCAGGUCCCGGGGCCGCGCUCGCGCCUCUUGCUCGGUCCUGCUCGGGGCGGCCGCCGCCCUGAGCCCUGCGCCCUGCGCCCUGCGCCCUCCGCCCUGCGCUCUCCGCCCUGCGCCCUGCGCUCUCCGCCCUGCGCCCUCCUUGCUCCGCGCUCCGCGUCCUGCCCGAGCCCCGAGGCGGCCGCCCGCUCCCGCCUCCGCUCCUCCGCCGCCGCCGCCACUCCCCAGAAGGGACCCCCAGCCCCGCGGCGACGGAAACGCCAGUGACUUUGCAUCGGAGAAUCUACAAACCGACCCUUGGCACAGGCUCUGGAUUUCCGCUGAAGGGCAAAUUUCCCCUCUGUUGCUUUUUUUUUUUUUUUUUUUUUUUAAAAGAAAGAAAGAGCGCACAGCGAACGACCCCAGUGUUCAAGCCACAAAAGUGGCUUUGCCUUAA
rnacentral:lncRNA from 1 species